rnacentral:rRNA from 1 species
AUUGAACGCUGGCGGCAUGCCUUACACAUGCAAGUCGAACGGCAGCACGGGAGCAAUCCUGGUGGCGAGUGGCGAACGGGUGAGUAAUAUAUCGGAACGUGCCCAGUCGUGGGGAUAACGUAGCGAAAGCUACGCUAAUACCGCAUACGAUCUAUGGAUGAAAGCGGGGGAUCGCAAGACCUCGCGCGAUUGGAGCGGCCGAUAUCAGAUUAGGUAGUUGGUGAGGUAAAGGCUCACCAAGCCGACGAUCUGUAGCUGGUCUGAGAGGACGACCAGCCACACUGGGACUGAGACACGGCCCAGACUCCUACGGGAGGCAGCAGUGGGGAAUUUUUGGACAAUGGGCGCAAGCCUGAUCCAGCAAUGCCGCGUGCAGGAUGAAGGCCUU